UACGGGGGGGGGCAAGCGUUGUUCGGAAUUACUGGGCGUAAAGGGCUCGUAGGCGGCCAACUAAGUCAGACGUGAAAUCCCUCGGCUUAACCGAGGAACUGCCUGUCAAACUGCAUGGCUUGAGACCGGGAGAGGUGAGUGGAAUUCCCAGUGUAGCGGUGAAAUGCGUAGAUAUUGGGAGGAACACCAGUGGCGAAGGCGGCUCACUGGACCGGUACUGGACGCUGAUGCGCGAAAGCGUGGGGAGCAAACAGG
rnacentral:rRNA from 1 species